rnacentral:piRNA from 1 species
UAAUUACACAUAUUUAAUUACACAAGGAUC